rnacentral:rRNA from 1 species
CACGUAGGGGGCAAGCGUUGUCCGGAAUUACUGGGCGUAAAGGGCGCGUAGGCGGCUCACUAAGUCGGAUGUGAAAACUCUGGGCUCAACCCAGAGCCUGCAUCCGAAACUGGUGGGCUAGGGUGCUGGAGGGGAAAGCGGAAUUCCUGGUGUAGCGGUGAAAUGCGUAGAUAUCAGGAGGAACACCGGUGGCGAAGGCGGCUUUCUGGACAGUAACCGACGCUGAGGCGCGAAAGCUAGGGGAGCAAACAGG